AACGGACAAACGUGGACCUCCAUUGGGGCUUCCAUCAACAAAGACGAUAUUGACAAGAUGAGAAUACAGAGAAUUGAGUUCAUCGAUGGAUUUGGACUUGAGGAAACAGAGUAGUUGAUCCUUAGUUGGCCCCUUUGAGCCUGCAGCAAUCAGGCCUAGUACUAUUUGAAUCGAGAGAGGAGAGAACACGAGGUUGGUAUCGCCUUUAAUCUCUUUGGAAAAGACAUGCUUUGCGAGAAUGAAAGAAACAUCCGUUUGGG
rnacentral:misc_RNA from 1 species